rnacentral:lncRNA from 1 species
CAUUCCCUUAACCUCUCUGGUCCAAGUCUAAGGCCCAUUCAAGCCCUAAAGCAGAAGACUAUAAAUUAUUCAGGGGGCGGGGCAGGUUGGAAAGUAGGAGGAGCUAUUUGCACGCCCUACUUUUUACGGGAUGCUGCGGUUUGGGCCGGCUUGGGUAGUUGCCAUGACUUCGAUUCCGUGGCCGCUGGGCGUCCUUGGCAGCCUUUCCGUCAUUGGCCCCGGAACACGUGGCUUGGGGAGAUUUGCGCCCCGAUUGGUCGCGGCUCCAAGGGGGAGGAAGCCGCGGGACGUGUCCGUGGCUGUGUGCUAGACACCCUCGACGGGUGGUACGCACUAAGUAGCCCUUUGAUGGCUUCAAAAGAUCUGCCCUUCAGCCCUGUGUUGCAGACUGUGCUCCUGUGCCUCCAGCCACCUCUCGCUGGCCUCUGCCUAUGACCUCUGUGUCUCCCAAAGGGGUAGACCCCGUCUUCUGGGGAAGAGACACAGCAGAUGAAUCCAGACCAAGUGACCAGUCAGGAGUUUGGCUUUCUCUGGGAGAAAAAGAUUCUACCUCUGGUGUGACUGAGCCAGAAGAUUUAGUCAAAAGAAGUUCAGCAUCCCUGGAUACCAUACCCUGAUUGGGAAUGGUAGCUUUCCUUUUUCCUGGUGGUUCUGAGUUAUUUGUUAGAUUCCAAAUCCUCUGCUUCCUCAUCUCCUGCCUGUGACUUUUUCCUCAGAUCUCUGACCUUAUUGAAGCUUUAUACCCUACCUUGAGCCAGAAAUUCUGAGUAGCAUAGAUCCAAGUUGGGAAGAGUUCUGCUUGUGUUGUCUUAUUCAUUCUUUGUCUCUGUGUUUACCUCACAAGCUGGAGCUGGGUCUGAUUUCCUGCUCCAAGUGUCACAGAACUGACAGACAUUCAGACAAAUGUGAAAUCACCCUCAGAGUUCCUGGCUCUAGAAACAAAACAGAGUUGGAAGAGUUUGCAUAAUCUGGAGAGGGAGUUUACUAAUUUACCCAGAAGCUGGGUGAAGAGGUGAGACUGGGAAUGGAGGAGUGAGGUCAAAGGUCAGACCCACUGAAAACUGGGAAAAGAAAAGCAUGUUGUAAGAAGAAUUUGAAGGAAUCAGUCUAUUCAUUUCUGAAUCUCCCUAGACCAGGCAAGUGUUGAUGAAAUAAAUCAGCUAUCUAUAAACUGGAUAAUUAGAUC